UUUUAACCCAAAAGAACUGAAAACAAAUUCUGCAUCUUUUAUGGAUGUCUAAUAUGAAGGAUGAAGGGAUAUCUGAUUGGUUGCCUGGCUGUCAAAGGUGUUGAGAUUGGCAACUGGAACCCUGCUUUGAGAUUCCCCAAGCACAUGUGGACUUGAAUCUUUGGCUUCCCUGCGCCUUACCAGCAGUUAACUUUCACAGCAGGCACGUGUAGAUGGCAAGACUGCUCACCUCAUGGCAGACAGGAACCAAAGAGAACAGGCAGAGAACAAGACACAUCUUUACAAGAGGUUCUAGGUUGCAGUUUUUAACAAUUUCGUUAACCCCUGGACAUAUUGUAAUCUGAAUACUAGAACAAAAACAUGUGCAU